rnacentral:rRNA from 1 species
CGGUGGAUUAGGCAUGCAAGUCGAACGGUAGAUAGUCUUCGGGAUAUUGAGAGUGGCGAACGGGUGAGUAACACGUAGAUGAUCUACCCUCAAAUGGGGGACAACCCAGGGAAACUUGGGCUAAUACCGCAUGAGUGCAGCGCAUAAAGCAUCUUUAGGUGGGUGUUUUAUGCGUUGCAUAAAAGGUGGCCUUCGGGCUGUCGUUUGAGGAUGAGUCUGCGUCCUAUUAGUUAGUUGGUGAGGUAAUGGCUCACCAAGGCGAUGAUAGGUAGGCGGCCUUAACGGGUGGCCGCCCACACUGGGAUUGAGAUACGGCCCAGACUCCUACGGGAGGCAGCAGUCGAGAAUAGUCUACAAUGGACGAAAGUCUGAUAGUGCGACGCCGCGUGAACGAAGAAUCCCUUCGGGGUGUAAAGUUUCUUUUAUAUGUGAGCAAUGCUGUUUAUGUGAAUAGCAUGAGAAGAGAGAUAUUAGCAUAUGAAUAAGUAACGGCUAACUCCGUGCCAGCCGCCGC